GGCAGCACGGGUGCUUGCACUGGUGGCGAGUGGCGAACGGGUGAGUAAUACAUCGGAACAUGUCCUGUAGUGGGGGAUAGCCCGGCGAAAGCCGGAUUAAUACCGCAUACGAUCUAGGGAUGAAAGCGGGGGACCUUCGGGCCUCGCGCUAUAGGGUUGGCCGAUGGCUGAUAGCUAGUUGGUGGGGUAAAGGCCUACCAGGCGACGAUCAGUAGCUGGUCUGAGAGGACGACCAGCCACACUGGGACUGAGACACGGCCCAGACUCUACGGGAGGCAGCAGUGGGGAAUUUUGGACAAUGGGCGAAAGCCUGAUCCAGCAAUGCCGCGUGUGUGAAGAAGGCCUUCGGGUUGUAAAGCACUUUUGUCCGGAAAGAAAUCCUUGGCUCUAAUACAGUCGGGGGAUGACGGUACCGGAAGAAUAAGCACCGGCUAACUACGUGCCAGCAGCCGCGGUAAUACGUAGGGUGCAAGCGUUAAUCGGAAUUACUGGGCGUAAAGCGUGCGCAGGCGGUUUGCUAAGACCGAUGUGAAAUCCCCGGGCUCAACCUGGGAACUGCAUUGGUGACUGGCAGGCUAGAGUAUGGCAGAGGGGGGUAGAAUUCCACGUGUAGCAGUGAAAUGCGUAGAGAUGUGGAGGAAUACCGAUGGCGAAGGCAGCCCCCUGGGCCAAUACUGACGCUCAUGCACGAAAGCGUGGGGAGCAAACAGGAUUAGAUACCCUGGUAGUCCACGCCCUAAACGAUGUCAACUAGUUGUUGGGGAUUCAUUUCCUUAGUAACGUAGCUAACGCGUGAAGUUGACCGCCUGGGGAGUACGGUCGCAAGAUUAAAACUCAAAGGAAUUGACGGGGACCCGCACAAGCGGUGGAUGAUGUGGAUUAAUUCGAUGCAACGCGAAAAACCUUACCUACCCUUGACAUGGUCGGAAUCCUGAAGAGAUUCGGGAGUGCUCGAAAGAGAACCGGCGCACAGGU
rnacentral:rRNA from 1 species